rnacentral:misc_RNA from 1 species
UCUCCGUUGGUGAACCAGCGGAGGGAUCAUUACCGAGUACUAUACUCAUAACCCUUUGUGAACCUUUAUACCGUUGCUUCGGCGGCUCAACCCUCCGGGGGCGAGCCCGCCGGCGUAUUCAGAAUCUCUGUUUAGUACCCGACGUUACCUCUGAGUGUUCUAAGCGAACUGUUAAAACUUUCAGCAACGGAUCUCUUGGCUCCAGCAUCGAUGAAGAACGCAGC